GUACCGGCGGCUCGAGUGGUGGCCACUAUUACUGGGCUUAAAGCGUCCGUAGCUGGAUUGUUAAGUCUCUUGGGAAAUCCACCGGCUCAACCGAUGGGCGUUCAGGAGAAACUGGCAAUCUAGGGACCGGGAGAGGUGAGAGGUACUCCAGGGGUAGGAGUGAAAUCCUGUAAUCCUUGGGGGACCACCUGUGGCGAAGGCGUCUCACUAGAACGGCUCCGACAGUGAGGGACGAAAGCUGGGGGAGCAAACCGGAUUAGAUACCCGGGUAGUCCCAGCUGUAAACGAUGCGCGUUAGGUGUAUCGGUGACCACGAGUCAUCGAGGUGCCGAAGGGAAACCGUGAAACGUGCCGCCUGGGAAGUACGGUCGCAAGGCUGAA
rnacentral:rRNA from 1 species